rnacentral:lncRNA from 1 species
GGGCCUGGUUGUCCUUCUAUUGGCUUUGGAGAGGCAGAGGAACUUGGACCUUGCUUAAUGCAAAAAGGUGCACCAAGACUUUAAUAGGGGACUUGCAAAAAGGUAUGCAAAAAGGAACUUGGACCUUGCUUAAUGAACAGGGGAGAUGCAAUUUGCAGCAACAAAAUAUUAUACUAAUGCUUGAUUAUGUCUUCUGCAGGCAGAGAAAAUAGAGCUUGACUAUAUGAAUGUUGAAGCACUACAAAAAAUGAACAAAAACAAGAAGCUUGUCAAAAAGCUUGCUAAAAAGUACCAUGCUUUCCUAGCAUCAAAGGCGAUUAUGUAUAUUGAUAUUUGUUCUAUGUCAAGCAGAUAGUAUUUUGCGGCUAUUCCAUAUGUAAAUUUGGAUGAUUUGACUUGUAUUCCUUGUUUUUGUAAAGAUUAAAUGCUUUUUGAAUCUUGCUG